CCUUAACGGGGCGGCGCUUCCAACGCGACCCCAGGUCAGGCGGGAUUACCCGCUGAAUUUAAGCAUAUCAAUAA
rnacentral:rRNA from 4 species